GGUAAAACCACUGACUCAAAGGAGAAUUUCUGCUCUUCUUGCCCAUUCUGUAGCCAUUUUGAUUUUUAUGUUACCAGUAAUAGUUUGAUGACAGGCUAGAAAAUGACUUCCCGGGGAAGCGAAUAUUACUCAAAGACAGAGAGAAGUGCUCUCCUCACUUAUAUGCUGGAGCCUUGAGACUGCCAUUUGGACCUCCCAUGACCACAGAUCUCUGACUCAGUCUUUAUGUAGCUAAGUAUUUACUCCCAGUCACAAAACACAAAAAGCAGCUUAACUUGCCCCAAGGCAAAAGCAUAAAUUUUCGGUUUCAUUUUUCUACCACACCCAUCCAUAGUGUGGCCAACUGUUUUGCUGGUCACAAAACGAGUUCAUCACGGCCAAGGAUUCGAGGCCCGAGGAGUGCGCAGCAGCGAAUCACAGUGCAGCAAAUCACAGUGCAGGAGCGAAUCACAGUGCAUCUGCGAGUGCGGAGCAGCGAAUCACAGUGCAUCUGCGAGUGCGGAGCAGCGAAUCCCAGUGCAUCUGCGAGUGCGGAGCAGCGAAUCCCAGUACAGCUGAGAGUGCGGAGCAGCGAAUCAUAGUGCAGCUGAGAGUGCGGAGCAGCGAAUCACAGUGCAGCUGAGAGUGCGGAGCAGCGAAUCACAGUGCAGCUGAGAGUGCGGAGCAGCGAAUCCCAGGGCAGCUGGGAGUGGUGCGCAGAAAACACAAGUGCAGCUGAAGGCAAAAACAGCAUGCCUCGGCUUAUCUCCCUCUCUUCUCCACUCCAACAUCCCCUGCUGGCUCAUAAGCACUCCAGGAACCCGAGACAAGAGUCUCCUGACUUCAGUUUCUUCAACACCACGGAACUGUUCUUGGAUUGUGCUUCGUGCCACUCACAGGUAUAUCGGAUAGGAGUGAGUUCACUUCAGAUUGUUCAUUACAAUUGGCUAUUGUUAUUUGUACACCUCUAUGGAAGAACAUGUGUGCCACGUGCUGUUUGUCCUUGUGAUUAUACACUUUGCUCAUGUGACUUCUUAGGCCUCAGAAUGUAAACUGUUUGGUUGUUCUGAAUAAAAUUGACCAUUGCAUGAGAAUUCA